rnacentral:rRNA from 1 species
AGGACGAACGCUGGCGGCGUGCUUAACACAUGCAAGUCGAACGGGCAUCUUCGGAUGUUAGUGGCGAACGGGUGAGUAACACGUGGGCAACCUGCCCCUAGCUCUGGGAUAACUCCGGGAAACCGGGGCUAAUACUGGAUAUGACCUUCUCCUGCAUGGGGGUUGGUGGAAAGUUUUUCGGCUAGGGAUGGGCCCGCGGCCUAUCAGCUUGUUGGUGGGGUGAUGGCCUACCAAGGCGACGACGGGUAGCCGGCCUGAGAGGGCGACCGGCCACACUGGGACUGAGACACGGCCCAGACUCCUACGGGAGGCAGCAGUGGGGAAUAUUGCGCAAUGGGCGGAAGCCUGACGCAGCGACGCCGCGUGGGGGAUGACGGCCUUCGGGUUGUAAACCUCUUUCAGCAGGGACGAAGCGUAGUGACGGUACCUGCAGAGAAGCACCGGCCAACUACGCGCCAGCAGCCGC